UACGAACCGUACAAACGUUAUUCGGAAUCACUGGGCUUAAAGGGUGCGUAGGCGGCCAUGUAAGUGAGGUGUGAAAUCCCUCGGCUCAACCGAGGAACUGCGCUUCAUACUGCAUGGCUUGAGGGAGACAGGGGUAAGCGGAACUGAUGGUGGAGCGGUGAAAUGCGUUGAUAUCAUCAGGAACACCGGUGGCGAAAGCGGCUUACUGGGUCUCUUCUGACGCUGAUGCACGAAAGCUAGGGUAGCGAACGGG
rnacentral:rRNA from 1 species